CAGCCGCCACGGUAAUACGUAGGUGGCAAGCGUUGUCCGGAAUUAUUGGGCGUAAAGGGCUCGCAGGCGGUCUCUUAAGUCUGAUGUGAAAGCCCCCGGCUCAACCGGGGAGGGUCAUUGGAAACUGGGAAACUUGAGUGCAGAAGAGGAGAGUGGAAUUCCACGUGUAGCGGUGAAAUGCGUAGAGAUGUGGAGGAACACCAGUGGCGAAGGCGACUCUCUGGUCUGUAACUGACGCUGAGGAGCGAAAGCGUGGGGAGCGAACAGGAUUAGAUACCCCCGUAGUCCCUGUCUCUUAUAC
rnacentral:rRNA from 1 species